rnacentral:rRNA from 1 species
CCUGCGGAAGGAUCAUUAACGAGUAAAGUCGCAAGACUUUCUUUCAUCCAACACCUGUGAAUUUAAAUUUUAUCUUGCUUUGGC